CAGCUAGUUGGUGAGGUAAUGGCUCACCAAGGCGACGAUCCGUAACUGGUCUGAGAGGAUGAUCAGUCACACUGGAACUGAGACACGGUCCAGACUCCUACGGGAGGCAGCAGUGGGGAAUAUUGGACAAUGGGCGAAAGCCUGAUCCAGCCAUGCCGCGUGUGUGAAGAAGGUCUUCGGAUUGUAAAGCACUUUAAGUUGGGAGGAAGGGCAUUUACCUAAUACGUAAGUGUUUUGACGUUACCGACAGAAUAAGCACCGGCUAACUCUGUGCCAGCAGCCGCGGUAAUACAGAGGGUGCAAGCGUUAAUCAGAAUUACUGGGCGUAAAGCGGCGCGUAGGUGGUUUGUUAAGGUGGAUGUGA
rnacentral:rRNA from 1 species